CACCUCUCUGGCCCUCUUGGAGUUAGACACACUCCUUCCAGAGCCAGCUACACAGACGGUCUAAUCAAAUGGCUUAAUGGAUUCCCAUGGAGAGAAGCAGGUAGAUUACUGUAGACCACUGGACAGAGAGGGCCACUUUCAGCAGCAUGAAUUCCAGACUGCUCCUCUCUGCCCAUCAUUCUGACCUGUUGAGAUCCAUCUGAAGGGCUGCCCAACACCCAGGGGUAUUGGCCACUCCUCCCACUUCUGUCCAAAAGCUCUGUAUUGUAGGUUUGUGCAUAAUGACCACCACUCUCAUUGCCAGCUGACGGUAGAAAGAAGACUUUCAGAGAGACAAGGAAGAAUAAUUUUCACAUAUUACUUUUAAAAGGAACUGCUCCUCAACAACAGAAGCAUUUUACAUUAUAUUGUCAGGAGAGAGGUUCUGCCUUUUUAGCAAAGGCUUUUUUAUUGCUCAAACAUGAAGAAGCAUUUAAUUACAGGACAUU